GGGCACUUGGCACAGUGGUAGCGCGCCUGCUUUGCACUCGAAACGAUGUGCCUGCAUGAGGUCCAGGGUUCAAUCCCCUGAGUGUCCA